ACCUUCGGGAGCUUGCACAGGUGCUGCAUGGCUGUCGUCAGCUCGUGUCGUGAGAUGUUCGGUUAAGUCCGCUAACGAGCGCAACCCUCGCUGUGUGUUAUAUGUGUCACACGGGACUGCCGGUCUUAAAGCCGGAGGAAGGUGGGGAUGAUGUCAAGUCAGCAUGGCCUUUAUAUCCUGGGCUACACACACGCUACAAUGGCCAACACAAUAGGUUGCUAAGCCGCGAGGUGGCGCCAAUCCAUAAAGUUGGUCUCAGUUCAGAUUGUAGGCUGCAACCCGCCUGCAUGAAGAUGGAGUUGCUAGUAACCGCAGGUCAGCUAUACUGCGGUGAAUACGUUCCCGGGGCUU
rnacentral:rRNA from 1 species